UACGUAGGGUGCAAGCGUUGUCCGGAAUUAUUGGGCGUAAAGAGCUCGUAGGCGGUCUGUCGCGUCUGCUGUGAAAACUCAGGGCUUAACCCUGAGCUUGCAGUGGGUACGGGCAGACUAGAGUGCGGUAGGGGAGACUGGAAUUCCUGGUGUAGCGGUGAAAUGCGCAGAUAUCAGGAAGAACACCCGUGGCGAAGGCGGUUCUCUGGGACGGUACUGACG
rnacentral:rRNA from 1 species